rnacentral:lncRNA from 1 species
UCCCGGGUCGGUGGGAGGCUCCGGAGGCUGCCCUCACCCAUCUCCGCCUCCCCAGCCGCCUCCGCCUCCGCCUCCUCCUCCCGAGGCUGCGCUGCUCCCAGCCACCCCCACUAUCGGCGGACCCGGACUGGAAAGACAGCGGGGAUAAGCCUCACCCGGUUCUGGCUGCGGCUCCGCGGAACGAACCUCCCCUCCCCCGGCCCACCCCCCUUCGGCAACACGCACAACUCCGCUCGGUCCAGUCCCGGGUUUAGCGCUGGUGAGGAGGAGGAGGCGGAGGAGGCGGUGGCGCGGCCGAGCCCGGGGAGGCUCCGCCCUCCGCGCCCUCAUUGGCCGGCGGGGAGGGCGGGCCGGGGCGCCUCGGGCGCGCCCAUUGGCCCCCUCUGCUGUCCUUCAGGACCCCCCUCGGGGGGGUGGUCCGAAGGGCUGUCCGUCAGGCGCGGGCCACGCCCCCCGGCGUUGCCGUUCCACUCCCCCCUCCGCCGGCGCUCGGCCCUCGGCCGCGUCCCCUCCCCUCCUUACCCCCGCCUCCCUCCCCGCCCCCACCCCCGGGUCCGUCAGGGUCAGGCAGCCCGAGUUACGCUGCCCGCUGCCCGCUGCCCCAGCCGCCGGCUCGCUCCCUGGGGGUUCGGGGUGCCCUCCAGGGCCCGGGACGGCCCGACACCGGGGCCGUGGCCGCCUACCCUGACUCGGGCCUGGGCGCCCGGGCCCCUGGAGCCGCUCCCAGCGACCCUGCCUGAGGAGAGACGCGGCCUCGAUGUCCUCGGCGCCCUCCCUGUCCAGUGCGUGACGCCCCCCGGGAGGGCCGCGCCCGGGCAGGGGCCGCAGCGAGGCACGGCGGGAGGUCGGGGCAGCGCGCGCAGGGGGUUCCCGCGUGCGCUGAGGGGGUGGGAGCACCUCCACCGUCGCCUCAGCCCGUGGGGAAUUGUCCCCCCACCUCCCGUCACGGCUGUAGGAGGAGACGACGUCCUCCAUUUUGUCGGGACUGCUGUGGGAACUUGGGACCAAUUCAAAACCAAAGCCCGUGGGGCUGGGAAACUUGGCCCCGCGAAGCCCCAACUGGGCUCCGCCAUUCGGCCGAGGGCACAGCCCCUGAUUCCAGCGUGUGCGUCCGAGGGGCCCCUGGGGCGGGCGCCACAGGGCACACACCCAGACGCCGCUCCCCGCCUGCAUCCACCAAGAUGGAGGAAGCUGCGGGCUCCCCGGGAGCGGGGCUCCCGCCUGUCGGAGGGGCCGCGGCCUCCCCUCGGCGUGUCCUCCCGCGCUGCCGUCGUCCUCCUCCGCAGCCUCGUUCGGUGGCCCUCCCCAGCCUCUACCCAGCCUCCCCACGGCCUCCACCGUCUCCUGGUCCUCAACCGUGGAUGGAGACUCCACUCCGCGGUCGGCCCUAUCGCUUCGCCCCGCCGGGGCUGCCCGGGUGCGGGGAGUCGAGCGGAGGUGCGGGGCGUCGCGCCGGGGCCCGACGCGGGCGUGCCCGGGGCGCCACAUCCACCGUGGGGCUCCUCUUUGUUCACCGUCUACACCUACGUCUUCGGCGCACGUCAUGGUGCUGUACGAUCUCCAAGAUCCCAGCCAAGAGGGCAGGGAGGCCUCUUCCGUCUCACCCUGGCGGUGGCUGGCGGGACUGCAGCCGCUGGCGGGGGACAAAUGGGGGACGAGGUAGACUUGUCACUCGCCGGGUUAUCUCGCGCCGCUGCCUGUUAA